rnacentral:tRNA from 1 species
GCGUCGGUGGUGUAAAAAAGGUUAGCAUGGUUGCCUUCCAAGCAGUCGAUCCGGGUUCGAUUCCCGGCCGACGCA